AACUAGGAAGACUUCACAGAAGAGGUUUUUAUUGUCCCAAUAAAGAAGAAGGCAUUCUUGGUAAAGAAAACUGCCUGAGGAAAAGCACAGAAAAAGUGUGGUUGUUUUCGGGGAGUGGGAGUACUCCUGUGUGGUCUAGAAAAGAAACAGUAGGCUAGAGAAAGAUGGGUUGGGGAGAAUUUAUAGUUGGAGAUGAGACUCAAAUGGAAUAUUGCUGUGGGGCCAUGAUGGGCCAAGGUGGCAGGAUCAACAAAUUAGGUUUUAUCUUGGGAGCAGAAAGGAAAUCACAAAGGCUUUAAAGUGGGGGAAGGAUUAAUAGAGGUCUCCGAUUUGAAUUCAGGAAGAGAACUCUGAUGCCAAUUACAAAAAUUGGUUUAGAGAUGGAGAAGCCUGGAAGCCAAAAAGCAACUAGAUUUGAAUCAUUGGAAAAAUAUGGAUGAGAUAACAGAACUGCAUCUGUGCUGUUAACCACAUUGCCAUGAAUAUUCAUUUAUAUGGUUCCACAUGGUAGAAUAUUAUAUAGUAGGGAAAAUGAAUGAAUCAUAGUUAUACUCAGUGAUAUAGAUGGAUUUUAAACAUAACAUAUCAAAUCAAAAUAAAAGCAAAUUUCAGAAGACUACUUAUAAUACCUUUUUUAAAGCUCAAACAUAAACAAGCUAAAUAAUAUGUUUGGGAUAUGGACACACAUAGUAAAUCUAUAUUUUAAAAACAUCAGAAAAGCAUAAAUAUACCAUUCAAGACAUAAGUUAACUCUAGAAAGGAGGAAGGAGAAAGGAUUUGAGUGGGGCGAUUUAAGUUCUUCAGUGAUACUGCAGGUGCUGAGUCUUAUGUUAAGUAGUAACUUACAAAUAUAUUUCUUCCCUGUAUAUGUUUCAAGAAUUAUAUUAAUUUUAAAAAACCUGUUUUUCUAUAAAAAUUAAUUUUAUAAGGUCAAUUUCCCCUAAGCAACAAGUAAGCAAGUGAUUGAACAAAAUAUUUUUCUACUCCUGGACUCUUCUUACCUCAAUAUUCCAGAUUAUUCAAGACAAAUGUUUCUGCUUAUUUUUAAUUUAAUCAACAUGAUUUGGAGACCCAAGGAUGGCUACUGCCUGCCUCAGGCCCUUUAGAAGAAGUUAAUUCUUUCACACAGCUUGUAAGAAUUGCACACAAAAUACAACUAUGGACAAGAAAGAGUUUCCACAUCUCACUUAUAUGCUCAAUCCAUUGCUUCCCAUUCUCAAAUCUUCAAAUUUCUGGUCCCUAGUCCUGGAUGCUGGCUUUUCAUGUCUGUUCCUAUAAAGUGUACAAUGAUGACACUGCAGGACUCACAUGUGCCAGGCAAAUACAUGAUGAAUUUUACAUGAGAGAAGUCUUUGCAUUCUUGUAACAACCCUAUGAAACACUGCAAUCUUAAGUCUAGGGCUUAUAGUGAUAAAAUGACCUGCUGGUUCAGGCAGGUGGUAAGUGAUGGGGACUGGUUUUGAGUCCAGGCAAUCUGAGUCCAAAGCCUAUCUUUAUUUUAUUUUAGUUUUAAUUAUUUAUUUAUUUUUGUCUUUUUGUCUUUUCUGGGCCACACCCGCAGCAUAUGGAGGUUCCCAGGUGAGGGAUCUAAUUGGAGCUGUAGCUCCCGGCCUACACCAGAGCCACAGCAAUGCGGGAUCCAAGCUGUGUCAGCGACCCACACCACAGCUUGUGGCAAGGCUGGAUCCUCAACCCACUGAGCAAGGCCAGGAAUUGAACCUGAAACCUCAUGGUUCCUAGUCGGAUUUGUUUCCGUUGCACCACGAUGGGAACUCCCAAAGCCUAUCUUUAAAACCACUUUGAUACAUGUCUCAUUAGCUUUGCAACAUUCUCUCCCCUUGGUUUCGGUGGCCUUUGUCAUAUUCAGGGAAAGCCAUGAAUAUCCACCAGUCACUGACAAAUCAAGAUUUUCAGGGAGGAAGAGAGGAGUCAGAUAAUAUUAUCCACAAAAAUCAAAGAUAAUAUUGUAAACUGACCUAUUCCAGAUUUUCAGGAUGAUAUAUAAUUGCAGAGACUGGGAAAGGGAAAUAAAAUACCUCUGGGCUAUGAUGUGGGCUAUAGGGUGAGGUGAGCAUGAUGGACCAGAAGGGGAGCUGUCUCCGUCUACUGCCCACAUGGACACUGCAGUCUAGAUCUCUGUUGGAACUGGCAUUCAUCUCGAAAGUGGAAGAUAAUGGAGACUCCUGGCAAGAGAGGAUGGGAGAAUCCAAACUCUGGGUAGUCUGAAGGCUGUGGAACAGAGACUCAGCUGUGACUCUUUGUGUUAGGAGCAGACCUUAGCAGAGGAAAAACAGAUUUAUUAAGAGCAAAUACAGAAGUCACUCAUUCAGCCAAGCCAGCUGGAGUUCAUUGCUGAUGUCCAGUCAUGGUGAUCAAGAGCCUGGACUCCAAAGCCAGACAGCCUAGUUCACAGGUUGGAUUCACUACAUUCUGCUCAAUGCCUAUCUCACUGGCAUAAGUCAAAGGGGCCAAAGACUUGGCCCUCAAGAAAAAGUGGGAGUGGAUGUGGUACUUCAAGGCCUCUUCAGGGAAAUAGUACUCAAAGCCUCUGGUCAAGAUAAGAAUUAUCAGAUACUUAUUUUUUUACCACCUAUUUCAUUGUAAUGCCCCAUCCCCCAACUUGAGCAUCUUGGCCUACUCCUUUCUACCCUCUACUAGGAAAGAUAUGUGGCCCAUUCCUCACCCCACCCCUAUAAGGGCAUUAUAUGCCCCCAACCAACCAGUAAGUGUAUAUUAAGACCCUUCUUCCCCCAACCAAUCAGCAGGUCAGCAGGUGUAUCAUAAGAUCUAUCCCCUCUCCCUGGGCUAUAAGAACAGACACAACCAAGUGCUUGGAGUUGGCUCUCCCUUAUUAUCAGGAGGUCAUCCUACUCUACUAAUAGUGUUCUUAUCUCAAUAAACUCUUCUUUCUCUUCACUCAAAAUAAAGAAAAAAGAAGAAAUAAUUAUUGGCACACAGUAAGUGUUUACUAUAUUGUCUAUACUUUGAAAACUAUCAUCAUUUUAAAGCCCAUUUGCUUGGGGCAGAGUUUAAGGUCCACAUUCUAUAGCUUUGCAUGUUUAGGACAUAUCCUGCCCUUCCUGGCUCUGAUGGGACAAAACCACUGCUUAAAUGUGCAUCAAGUCCUUAUUCUUGGAUGAGGCUGUUGGAGUCAGGGGCAAGCAGAGUCAGAACUGGAAGGUUCCACCAAGGAGAACACAAUUAGAGCUGGAUAAAACCAACUGGAAACCAACACUUCAAGCCUGAAGUGUGAUUGCUGAUUUUUGUUGCUGUUGUUUCUUUAAUCUUUUUCCAGUUGACAAAUCUGUUAGAAAUACCUCCUAGGGCUUGGUGGAGGAACACUUCAAAGUUUAUGAGGGAGAUGAUGUUUCCAUUUAAUGGUACUGAUUAGCUUUGGUUCAAUAUUAGGCAAGUUAGGGUAAAUUUUUGCUGGAGGGAAUCUUACUGCCUGAGUCCAUAAUCAGUGUAUCCUGAAAGCAUCAGGACACUUGGAGAACCUGGGUAAUAGAAAGAAUACUGGUCAGAGAGGGUAAGUCCUAGAUUCUGGUCCCUAAGGAUCCUGCAUAUAGUCUUGACUCCCUCCACCAGGAGUCAGGAAGUCAGAGAAGAACUGUCCUAAGUCCAAACCUCUGGACUGUGAUGGUUGCUGCAACAUAUUCUUACAAUGCAGCAAAAGCAAAUAAAAGGGAGGAAUUAACUAAGGUUGGAGAGCAGCAGGAAGGCUUCUUGGAAGAAGUGGCUUUUAAGCUGGGAGGUGGAGGAAGGAUCACUUUCAAGAAGUUCAGACCAUUGAGUGCCUUGGAAAUGACACAGGUAACUUUGAAUUUUAUCCUCCAAGGCAGGGAGGCAACAUCCUGUCUGGGAAAGAACAACUGAGCAGGUCAGGAAACCUAGACUCUUGAUCAUCUCUGCCUUUGGGCAAGCUGUUUACAUUCUCUGAUUUGGACAGGAAGAAUGAGAACGUUUAGGGUCACUUUUGUUUCAUUCAAAGGUUUUUGAAUAUGUUUUGUAUGUACAAAUAUGUAUGUGCUCUUGGAAUAGGUAGCUAGUCUUUCCUUUAAGCCAUCAAUCAUCCCUUUAAUUGUCAAUCAACUGCCCAUCAAGGCCAGAGGAUGCUCUUUCCUGUCAGGUGUCUAUUUUAUCCUUGUGUAAUUGGCUCCUAAGUGCUUUGAUGUAUUGGCAGCCAUUGACCCUGCUAGUAACUUCCUGGAAGGGGGAAGGUGAGCAAGUCAAGCAAAAUGGCACCUUUAGAAGAUAAAAGGAGAAACAAAAUAUUUAUCUUUCCUUAGGUCUGUGGCGCCAUCAAAAAUUAAGUGUUCUUAGGAAGUAGGGCUGGAUAAGGACACAUGAAUUUUAAGGGGUCAGAAUCAUAAGCAGGAUGCACAUGAGCAAUUAUCUCAAUGUGCCCUUGAAAGCAAAAGGCCACUUUCAAAACCCUGAAGAGGCGGUGUGAUGUAGAGGGGGAAAAAGAUAAAAAACAAAAGGCAAACCAUGGUCAUAGGGUCAGAAGAUCUGUAUUUGAGGCCCAGGCCUGCUCCAACAUAUGUGACUCUGAUAAAUGACCUGUCUUCAUGGAGAUUCUGCUACUUAUUAAAUGGUCCUAACAAUGUUUAUGAGGCAGAAUUUCUAGGGAGAGUCAAUGAGAUAAUAUACAUGAAGAUGCCAGAUAAACAAGUGGAAUAUAAAAAGGAAUCAGUAAGGCUGAGAAAUGAUAGUUGGGUUUUUGUGAGUAAAAGGAACAAAGACUGAAUUUAAGGCACAGUACUGAGGCGAUAGAUUUUAAGAGCGCCCAUAAGUGAGCUCAAGUCUUAAUGAUCUACCAGAAGAGAAGACUCUCAUUGAAAUUCAAGUGUAAGGUCGUCCUUUGGAUUUGAGAGCAAAAAUCUGUGGUUCUAAAACUGUGUACCAGACCCUUGAUCUUUGUGUUUUGAAGUAAAAGCCCUUUCCUUUAGUCUCCCAGGCCUCCCCUCAGUCUCAAAAGGCUGACUUAAGAGUUGAUGAUUAGGAAAUAUUGUUACAGCUAAACACUAGUUAAAACAGUCUCCAUUACAUCAUGUCCUGCCUUGGCCCACUAACUUAUUGCUCAUGUUUAUUUUCUAGUUAUAGUUAUAUUGCACCUAGCAUCUGGCUUUUCACAAAUGAUCUCUUCCUUGAUUAACUGCUUUCUUUUACUAAUGGUUACUUUCCAGUUAUAUUGCACCUAGAACACCUCUAACACCCCUUCCCUGUGAGCAAUCUUCAUUCCACAGAGAAGGUCAAGGAAUGUUAACCCCAAAGACAACCAGAAACCAUCAUCGGACCCACUGACGCUGCACAUGAUGACUCUGAAAUGAUCUAUGGAUGAAGAAAAAUACAGACACCUUAAUAAACAACCCUGUCUUCUGAGCUAAACCUAUAAAACCCCGUGCUCUCCCCUCUCAAGACAGGACAUAGUUUUGAGGCACUCAUCUGCUGGGUCCUCCUUUGCCUAGCAAAGCAAUAAAGCUAUUCUCUCUCUUCCUCAAAACUCUGUCUCCGAGACUGUCUUUUCAGGAGGGAGCUGUGGUCAGGGACAGUUUCCAUUCCUUGCAAUGGAAUGAGCUGUCACCAUUAUUGGCAUGCCUUGCUAUUAACUUAUGCCUUCUUAUCUGCCUUAUUUUGCAGAUUGGGAUAUGUUAAUUACAGUGCUUGUGUAAUGAACUUAAGUAUGGAUAGCCAUGCUAAGAUUUAAAUAAGACCGAAGGGAGUUCCCAUUGUGGCUCAGUGUGUUAAGAACCCAACUAGUAUCCUUGAGGAUGUGGGUUCUAUCCCUAGCCUUGCUCAGUGGGUUAAGGAUCUGGUGUUGCAGAUGUGGCUUAGAUACCGUGUUGCUAUGGCGGUGGCAUAGGCUGCCGGCAGAUGAAGCUCAGAUUUGACCCCUUGCCUGGGAACUUCCAUAUGCUGCAGGUGUGGCCAUAAAAAGGGAAAAAAUAAAUUCAUAAAUGAGACUGGAGCCCAAGCCCUCUGCCCCUUUUUUUCUUGUUUUCUUCACUACCCCCAAUAUUCUGUUGUCUUUUUGUUUUUGUUUUUGACUGUGCCAGAAACAUGUAGAAGUUCCCAGACCACAAAUCAAACCUGAGCCACAGCAGUGACCAUUCUGAAUCCUUAACCACUAGGCCACCAGGGAACUUCCCAAUAUCAUUCUUAAAACUGGAUUUUUUUUGUUCCCCUUGCCUUUACUUCCUGAAUUGCAAAGUCUCCAAGUAAGAGCUUCUGUUUUUAUAUUGGCACAGGACAAAUGCAUAGCACAGAGCAGGACUUUUGAGUGUGGCUCUGGUUCCAUUCUGCUAGGAUUCAGACCAAAGAUCUUACAAAUUGUGCUUUCUUGGGCAAGCUGCUUCAUUGCCCUGAGCCCUUAGUUUGGGAUUAACAUCUGUGCACAUUUCACAAGGGUAUUGUUUAAAAUAAGCAAGAUAAGGCAGGUGAAGUGCUCAAAACAGUACCUAAGCAUAUAUUAAGUUCUAAAACUUUUUAAUACUAUUUAGUAGAAUUAGUAGUAGUAAUUGCAGUAGUAAUAGCCAUAUCUUGGAUGGGUGGAUGAAUAGACAUACAAAUGUAUGAAGGAAAAUUCUAUGACAUCUUUUUCUAAAAAGCUACUUCCCUUUGAUGAGGAUUUCUUGUUCUUUGGUUUGCUUUGGCAGCCUGACGAAAAGGGUGGGGAUUCCAGUUUUAAACUAUAUCCCCCCUGGGUUAUCUGAAUAGAAUGGCUGAAGCAGAGAAAAUGGCCAAUAAUGUUAAGAACAGAGUCCAUCUACAGAAACAGCUCCAGCUGCAAGAUCAUCAGCCUUGUAAAUUAUUUACGCUAUUGUUGAUCUAGAAUCCACUGCUACAAUUUCAAAAUUAAUUUACUCUAAUUACCCCCACUUAAUAAGAUAACUUGUCAGUUAUCACCACUCCCAUAAUCUCCCACAUUUCCGUCUCUUUUUAGCCUAAAUUAUCCUCUUCUAAGCUUGUUUUUAAUGUAUU
rnacentral:lncRNA from 1 species